AUUGAACGCUGGCGGCAGGCUUAACACAUGCAAGUCGAGCGGAGAUGAGGUGCUUGCACCUUAUCUUAGCGGCGGACGGGUGAGUAAUGCUUAGGUAUCUGCCUAUUAGUGGGGGACAACAUUCCGAAAGGAAUGCUAAUACCGCAUACGUCCUACGGGAGAAAGCAGGGGAUCUUCGGACCUUGCGCUAAUAGAUGAGCCUAAGUCGGAUUAGCUAGUUGGUGGGGUAAAGGCCUACCAAGGCGACUAUCUGUAGCGGGUCUGAGAGGAUGAUCCGCCACACUGGGACUGAGACACGGCCCAGACUCCUACGGGAGGCAGCAGUGGGGAAUAUUGGACAAUGGGGGGAACCCUGAUCCAGCCAUGCCGCGUGUGUGAAGAAGGCCUUAUGGUUGUAAAGCACUUUAAGCGAGGAGGAGGCUACUGAGACUAAUACUCUUGGAUAGUGGACGUUACUCGCAGAAUAAGCAUCGGCUAACUCUGUGCCAGCCGCCGCGGUAAAAC
rnacentral:rRNA from 1 species